UUAGGUUCAUCAUGCAUGGUUAAUAAAUUCGAAUUGAUUCGUCUGCCUCUCACAAUUUGGGACUGUUUGAUCGCUAUGCUACACUGAGUAAGAAUGGAAGAUGAUGGUGAUCUAAAUAUUGUUACUUGUUUAAUUGCUUGGAAACCAUUGCUUGUUUAGUAUAGCUACUAACUUAGAUUGGUAAAUGAACGUAGAAUUUGUGGCUAAAAUAUUGAAAGUAAGGAUCUAC
rnacentral:lncRNA from 1 species